AUUGAACGCUGGCGGCAGGCUUAACACAUGCAAGUCGAGCGAGCGGCGGACGGGUGAGUAAUGUCUGGGAAACUGCCUGAUGGAGGGGGAUAACCACUGGAAACGGUAGCUAAUACCGCAUUUCACCGGAUGUGCCCAGUUGGGAUUAGCUAGUAGGUGGGGUAAUGGCUCACCUGGGAGACGAUCCCUAGCUGGUCUGAGAGGAUGACCAGCCACACUGUAACUGAGACACGGUCCAGACUCCUACGAGAGGCAGCAGUGGGGAAUAUUGCACGAUGGGCGCAAGCCUGCUGCAGCAAUGCCGCGUGUGUGAAGAAGGCCUUCGGGUUGUAAAGCACUUUCAGCGAGGAGGCGUUACUCGAAGAAGAAGCACCGGCUAACUCCGUGCCAGCAGCCGCGGUAAUUC
rnacentral:rRNA from 1 species